rnacentral:lncRNA from 1 species
CACGGAGGACUGCAGCAGGCGCAUUUUUGCUCUGCCUGUGACGGGGUGCUGGUGGGGCCUAGGCCUUUCUGCAGGUCACAACCCACCUCCUUGGGGGCGGCAAGACCCUGAGACAUAUCCCUGAGGCCGCUGUUUGCUGGCCUGAUUCUCUGCAGCUGAGUCUGUGGGGAGAGGCCCUGGGCUCUGGUCCCUGGCAGGCUCCUCAUGUGCUCUUCAUCCUCACCAGCACACCGGGAUUCCACCCUUGGGUGGAUGAUGGAUAGUUGUUCCCUGGUGAAAUGCUAGAAAACGGAUAGGUUGGUAUGCCCAGGUUUGGACAGAAGGGGCCUUCUGUACAGAGGGUUGCCCAAGACGGUUGGCGCAACCUCCAGCCCAGCUUUGGGUCCAGGUUAAGCGCCCACAAGCCUUUGUCCUGGAUUUGGGACUCUUGGGCCUUACCUGCAGGUCCUGAGCCCAGCUGGUCCUGGAACUGUUCUAUCUGCCUUAUAGGGCAGUGUCCAUCCUUCUCCGGGCCUGCUCUCUGUCUCCCCAGCACAGGAGUCUUCCAGCUUCUUAAGUGGGCCUUGGAGUUACAGAGGAUGCUAAUUCUGCCCAUCCCCCUCCACCUUCCACCACUGCAGCUAAUCCAUCUCCAGCUUGUCCUGAAUUCUUACAGGUAAGCAACCACUGGC